rnacentral:lncRNA from 13 species
CAUCAACAGGGGGAGUGGUGACUAUGAAGUGCUCAAGGACUGGCUAGGUCAGGAGCUUUGGCCCCAGAAUUCGUUGAAAAGUUCCUGUUUGUGCUGGUGAACAG